GACGAACGCUGGCGGCGUGCUUAACACAUGCAAGUCGAACGGAAAGGCCCUGCUUUUGUGGGGUGCUCGAGUGGCGAACGGGUGAGUAACACGUGAGUAACCUGCCCUUGACUUUGGGAUAACUUCAGGAAACUGGGGCUAAUACCGGAUAGGAGCUCCUGCUGCAUGGUGGGGGUUGGAAAGUUUCGGCGGUUGGGGAUGGACUCGCGGCUUAUCAGCUUGUUGGUGGGGUAGUGGCUUACCAAGGCUUUGACGGGUAGCCGGCCUGAGAGGGUGACCGGCCACAUUGGGACUGAGAUACGGCCCAGACUCCUACGGGAGGCAGCAGUGGGGAAUAUUGCACAAUGGGCGGAAGCGUGAUGCAGCAACGCCGCGUGCGGGAUGACGGCCUUCGGGUUGUAAACCGCUUUCGCCUGUGACGAAGCGUGAGUGACGGUAAUGGGUAAAGAAGCACCGGCUAACUACGG
rnacentral:rRNA from 1 species